rnacentral:lncRNA from 1 species
UCGCUAAUUCUAGAAGCCUCUGACCCUUAUAUCAAACGUGGUCAGAGUGUACAUUUCGGAUUGGGCCAAUGUAACCCGAAAUUAAAAUAGGCCCAAAAUAAAAUACAUACUCUAGCCCAAUGUGUGGUAUACAUGCAAUAUACAACAAUAUACAAUAAUGAUACAAUGAAUAUACAACAAUUGUGAAUGUAUGUGUUUGGGCUUGGAAGCUAAGUAAUCCUUUAGCUCAACACCCCCCUCAAGUUGGAGGGGGAAACCACCUUCAACUUGGACAGAAGAUAAUAGUGAGCAGUGCCAGGCAGGGGCUUAGUGAGCACAUCAGUCAGCUGGUGAGAAGUGGAUACAUGAGAAAGGGAAAUCAAACCAUCCGCUAGCUUGGUACGAACAAAAUGACAAUCGACCUCAAUGUGCUUGGUCCGCUCAUGAAAAACUGGAUUCUUAGCAAUAAGGAGAGCUGCCUGAUUGUCACAGAAAACAGACAAAGGAAAAGUAACAGAUACACCAAGAUCAGUGAGUAAACGAGAAAUCCAAGAUAACUCAGCAACCACCUUACUGCGGGCCCUGUAUUCUGCCUCAGCAGAGGACAGAGAGACCACUGGCUGUUUCUUGGACUUUCAACUGACUAAGUUGUCACCCAAUAGCACACAAAAGCCAGUGACAGAUCUGCGAGUGUCAGGGCAAGCAGCCCAGUCACUGUCUGAAAAUGCAGUGACUGUAAAAUCAGGAUUGUCAGAGUAGCAGAGCCCCAAAUCCAUAGAAGCCUUAAGAUAUCUAAGAACAUGUAGAGCAGCAGACAUGUGAGGAAGUCUGGGAGCCUUAAAAAACUGACUCAAAUGCUGGACAGCAAAACAGAUGACAGGUCAGGUAUGUGUCAAGAAAUAGAGCAGCAGACAUGUGAGGGAUUCUGGGAGCCUUCAAAAACUGACUCAAAUGUUGGACAACAAAACAGAUGUCAGGUCGGGAAUGAGUCAAGAAUAGAAGCUUGCCAAUCAAGCUCCUGUAAUGGUCAGGAGAAGGGAAAAGAUCACCAAAGUCAGCAUGCAAUUUGGUAUUGAGGUCCGAAGGACAAACUACAGGGGAAACAGCCAUACAGUCAAACUGAUGCAGCAAGUCAGAAAUAAACUUGUGCUGAUUAAGAAGCACACCACCAGCAACAGAGGACACCUCAAUACCCAGAGAAUAGUGCAAAGACCCAAGGUCUUUGAUUCUGAAUUGGUCAUCCAGGAAGGUCUUGAGGUCAGAAAGUUCAGCAACAUCAUCCCCAGUGAUAAUAAUGUCAUCUACAUACACAGCCAGGACCACAAGACACCCAGGUUGACCCUUGACAAAUAAAGAGUAGUCAUUCAUAGAAUGAACAUAGCCUCUGGAGUAGAGAGCCUGAGACAGCUUGGCAUACCAAUGCCUGGAAGCUUGUCUCAGGCCAUAAAAGGGACUUCUGUAACUUGCACACAAGAGGUGCAGAAGCAUAGGGAUCAGAAGGGGCAGAAACACACAAACCUGGAGGACGCUUCAUAUAUACCUCCUCAUCAAGGUCACCAUGCAAGAAAGCAUUAUUAACAUCAAGUUGGAA